rnacentral:rRNA from 1 species
GACGAACGCUGGCGGCGUGCUUAACACAUGCAAGUCGAACGGAAAGGCCCUGCUUUUGUGGGGUGCUCGCGUGGCGAACGGGUGAGUUACACGUGAGUCACCUGCCCUUUACUUUGUGAUAUCUUCAGGAAACUGGGGCUAAUACCUGAUAGGUGCUCCUGCUGCAUGGUGGGCGUUGGAAAGUUUCGGCGGUUGGGGAUGGACUCGCGGCUUAUCAGCUUGUUGGUGGGGUAGUGGCUUACCAAGGCUUUGACGGGUAGCCGGCCUGUGAGGGUGACCGGGCACAAUGGGACUGAGGUACGGAGCAGAGGGCAACGGGAGGCAGCAGUGGGGAAUAUUACACAAUGGGCGGAAGCGUGAUGAAGAAACGCCGCGUGCGGAAUGAAGGCCUUGGGGUUGUAAACAGCAUUAGCCUGAGACGAAGCGUGAGUGACGGUAAUGGGUAAAGAAGCACCGGCUAACUACGUG